CAUCUGGUGGCUUAAUGGUUGGAGCGUCCGCCUCGGAUGCGGGCGGUCGCUGAUUCGAACCAAGGCUAAGUCA